UCUACGGGAGGCAGCAGUGGGGAAUCUUGUGCAAUGGACGAAAGUCUGACACAGCCACGCCGCGUGCGGGAAGAAGGCCUUCGGGUUGUAAACCGCUUUCAGCAGGAACGAAAAUGACGGUACCUGCAGAAGAAGAUGCGGCCAACUACGUGCCAGCAGCCGCGGUGAUACGUAGGCAUCAAGCGUUGUCCGGAUUUAUUGGGCGUAAAGAGCUCGUAGGCGGUUCAGCAAGUCGGGUGUGAAAACUCUGGGCUUAACCCAGAGCCUGCACUCGAAACUGCUGUGACUAGAGUUCGGUAGGGGAGCAGGGAAUUCCUAGUGUAGCGGCGAAAUGCGCAGAUAUUAGGAGGAACACCAAUGGCGAAGGCACUGCUCUGGGCCGAUACUGACGCUGAGGAGCGAGAGCGUGGGUAGCAAACAGGAUUAGAUACCCUGGUAGUCCACGCCGUAAACGAUGGGCACUAGGUGUGGGUCUCUAACCAACGAGAUCUGCGCCGUCGCUAACGCAUUAAGUGCCCCGCCUGGGGAGUACGGUCGCAAGACUUAAAACUCAAAUUGAAUUGACGGCGNGAGACGNGCCGACGGACGACGACGAGGGAGGAGG
rnacentral:rRNA from 1 species